UACGUAGGGGGCAAGCGUUGUCCGGAUUUAUUGGGCGUAAAGAGCGUGUAGGCGGCCAGGUAGGUCUGCUGUGAAAACUCGAGGCUUAACCUCGAGCUGUCGGCGGAAACCAUCUGGCUAGAGUCCGGAAGAGGAGAAUGGAAUUCCCGGUGUAGCGGUGAAAUGCGCAGAUAUCGGGAAGAACACCGGUGGCGAAAGCGCUCUGCUAGGCCGCAACUGACACUGAGGGACGAAAGCUAGGGGAGCGAAUGGG
rnacentral:rRNA from 1 species